GACGAACGCUGGCGGCGUGCCUAAUACAUGCGAGUCGAACGCUGAAGGAGGAGCUUGCUUCUCUGGAUGAGUUGCGAACGGGUGAGUAACGCGUAGGUAACCUGCCUGGUAGCGGGGGAUAACUAUUGGAAACGAUAGCUAAUACCGCAUAAGAGUAGAUGUCGCAUGACAUUUGCUUAAAAGGUGCAAUUGCAUCACUACCAGAUGGACCUGCGUUGUAUUAGCUAGUUGGUGAGGUAACGGCUCACCAAGGCAACGAUACAUAGCCGACCUGAGAGGGUGAUCGGCCACACUGGGACUGAGACACGGCCCAGACUCCUACGGGAGGCAGCAGUAGGGAAUCUUCGGCAAUGGACGGAAGUCUGACCGAGCAACGCCGCGUGAGUGAAGAAGGGUUUCGGAUCGUAAAGCUCUGUUGUAAGAGAAGAACGAGUGUGAGAGUGGAAAGUUCACACUGUGACGGUAGCUUACCAGAAAGGGACGGCUAACUACGUG
rnacentral:rRNA from 1 species